rnacentral:rRNA from 1 species
AAAUUGAAGAGUUUGAUCAUGGCUCAGAUUGAACGCUGGCGGCAGGCCUAACACAUGCAAGUCGAACGGUAACAGGAAGCAGCUUGCUGUUUUGCUGACGAGUGGCGGACGGGUGAGUAAUGUCUGGGAAACUGCCUGAUGGAGGGGGAUAACUACUGGAAACGGUGGCUAAUACCGCAUAACGUCGC